rnacentral:rRNA from 1 species
UACAGAGGCCUCAAGCGUUAGGCGGAAUCACUGGGCUUAAAGCGUGUGUAGGUGGAUGCCUAAGUACCUUGUGAAAUCCCACAGCUUAACUGUGGAAUUGCUUGGUAUACUGGGUGUCUUGAGCCACUCAGGGGCUACCGGAACAAACGGUGGAGCGGUGAAAUGCGUAGAUAUGCGGAGGAACACCGAUGGCGAAGGCAGUCCCCUGGGCCUGUACUGACGCUCAUGCACGAAAGCGUGGGGAGCAAACAGG